UACGGAGGGUGCAAGCGUUAUCCGGAUUCACUGGGUUUAAAGGGUGCGUAGGUGGGCUUGUAAGUCAGCGGUGAAAUCUCCGGGCUUAACCCGGAAACUGCCAUUGAUACUAUAAGUCUUGAAUUAUCUGGAGGUAAGCGGAAUAUGUCAUGUAGCGGUGAAAUGCUUAGAUAUGACAUAGAACACCAAUUGCGAAGGCAGCUUACUACGGAUACAUUGACACUGAGGCACGAAAGCGUGGGGAUCAAACAGGAUAGAAACCCU
rnacentral:rRNA from 1 species